UCACGAGGGUUCCCGAUUGGUUCAGAACCCUAGCCUCCACUCCCUCGCGCCCCUCUUCUUCGCCCUUGCAGCCGCCGCCGCGCUCUUGCCCCCGCCGUGCCGCCGCCGCGCUCCUGUUCUUGCCCGCCGCGCGGCCGCCGCUGGCCCUGCUCCCCAUCCUCGGCCUCACCACCGGCGCAGGGCCAAAGGAGAAGGUAGAAGAAGACGCGCUCCACGGGGCCGGUGAAGAUCGAGGGCACAUCGAAGAAGGUGCUAGGCAGCGCGCCGCCGCCCUCCGCCGCGACGGCGAGCGUGUCGAGGACCCUGGUGGCCGUGGUCAUCAUCACGGACCUGCCGCUCGUGCCACCGCGUCCCCGUCGAGCUCGCGCGUCAUGUCGCCGGGAGCAGAGGAAGCCGGCGCUGCUCUUCCCAGAGGAGCGCUCUUUCGUGUUGUUGACUGGAGGAGACCAGUCGGAGCGAUGGGAUAGGCCAAGCGGAGCGUGGCGUCGCCGCCGGCUAGCGCGUCAACGGGAGGAGCCUUGCAGGUGGCCACACUAUAUAUUUCUCCUCAUUUAGCCUGCUCUCUCCUUUAAUUUAAUCCCUAGACUUUCUCUUCUUUGUGCAUGUUCAUUUGUGUACGUGCCUAGAAGAUGCCACCAACAGCAAGAUCUGGGAGAAAGAGGAGGAGACAAAGAGGGAGAUGGGGUCGGAAGAAGAGAUGGUGAAAGUAUCUGCUUGGGACUUCAUGGCUAGGCCUGUUAUUGCUAAGUUGGCAGCCCGUCACACUGUUGCACACUGCUACAUUUGUACUACCCCCAGCUGGUCCAAGUAGAGGAGAUAAGGCGCGUAUUUGGAUUCUUCAGGAGAUGCUUGCACCUUGGUCAGGUGGAGAGGCUGCCGAGCAGCAACCAGGUGGUGGCUAUUUUGUCUACUGCAUCUGAGGCUAAGUCAAUGCUGACACCGGGUUCAGGUCAGCCAUGGAUCUCUUCGUCCAUAAAUAAGAAAAUGUUUGUCAUUAGCCCUUCUCAAACUGUAGCUGUACAGAUUUAAUGUAUUUCUACAACGGAAAGAACCAUGAACCUGUAGAUGUAUUUUUCCUUUAGUCGUCUUUUGGUCUGAAAGCAUGUUUUUAUACCCAUCGAUUGAUGAAACCAUACAUCUGGAGGUGUACUCUUUUCCAUGGAAAUGAAAUCCUUCCCUUUUUAGCUUCAGGAAUUAACUUUAUUGUAACUUCCCUUUCACGAAAGAGGUAUGCAUUUUUUGGCUUAAGAAGCAUGAGCUAUAUUUACAUCUCUUUGUCGCCUGCUAGAUGGUUUUGUCUAAACGAAAAGGUUACACACUACCAAAUAUUUUCCAGCUAUCUCUUGAGUGAUCUUGCUUGUCAGUAAUGUUUACAGUUUACACUACCUAAAUCCUAAGCUAAGGUUUAUCAGUAAUUAGAUAUACUUAGGUAAGUAGAGCUGUACAAGCCUAAUAAUAAAGGUUCAUCAAAUGGGGAACUUUUCAUGUACAUGAUCACAUUUUUUGUUGGCCUUCGUUUUUUAUUUUCCUCCCCUGAACUGGGACAACGUAGCCUCUGUUCCCUUGAUUGUGUGGCUUUGAUCAGUUGGUGUAGAUUCUAUUGUUUGCUAUCUCGAGCAAUAUCAUAAAAAUCCGAUAUUGUAGAUUUGUAGACUAAAAUAGUCGCUCAUCCUCACUAUUCGAUUUUGGGCGUCCCUCUUAAUGUUUCUCCAACUGGCUACGUAGUUGUGUUUUAGUUGAUGCUGUAGAAUUUCAUUUUCUUGAAUGUGGAAGGAUACUGAAAGGGAUACAUUUCAGUUCUCAUAUUAUUAGAAUAUAUACCUGCUCCCUGUCUUUUUGGAUAUGUACUUCUGUUAGCUAUGUGAGCUAUGGCUGUCCUGUAACAUGUACUUCUUGGGGGCAGUAGCACUACUCAUCUGCAUGUACAAUGUUUAUUUAAGAUACAAGACAGAAUGACUGCAGUCUUGGUUGAUACCUGAUCAAAAUCACCUAUUUAGCUUUACUGGAAAUGUUCAGUUUCUUACCAGUUAUCAUUUGUUGUCAAUAUAAAAAAAGUUUGUUGCUAAGAGAAAACUCUUCCAAUUGAUGUUUGGGGAAUGAUGUGCAUGGUAUUUAACUUUAUAGUGAGGUUCUAUUUUACUUGCAUUUGUCUUGCUAUGUUACACCAGAUGCUUAAAGUGCAUUUGUUUUGACAACUAAAGAGUGGUGAGGAUUCAUCACCCUACUUCACUCGAGUUGCUUCAGCAUCUGCCAUCAUCUUUUGUUGUUUAUACUUUUGUAAAAUCUAUAGAUUUCUCAGCGGAAAACUGAUAGAUUCAAAAGAUGCAUCAAAGAUUUCUACUUCACUCUUUAGUGUUAUUUAUAGUUUUGUGUUUAACAACUUGACUACCUAUCAUCUCUCUCCUACGACAAUUUAAUGUGAACUUAAUUACCACUAGAUAUGCGAAUGUAAUGUUUACAUCUUAUCAAUAUGUACAUGCACGAUUAGUUAUUCAGGUGAACACUACUUUACCUUGUCGGCCUUAGAUUGCAGUAUUAGGCUCCUCCACUCAUUGCUUUGCUUAGUUAAAUUUGUGGGAGAAAACAAAUAUAUAUGUAUGCAUUUAUUAUGUUUAGUUUCUUUGACCUAAUUUUAUAGAGGAAAAUCUUAUUUUUCUGAUAAUUUGUUUCUUGUGCAGAAGAAUCACAAUGCUUACAAAUAUUGUUCUGAAUAUAUGGAUUUUUCGGUAAGCUCAUCAUUCAUUCGGUUAAGCAUACAACCUUCUGUUUCAUCUACAGAACAGAAGAGCCUGCCUACUGUUUGUUACAGCCGAACAGGAGCAUGUUUCAUAUCAUGACCCAUGAUCAACAGCGGGUGCUGCCUCUGCUUCUUAAGGCUUGACUUCGCUCUAUGGAAGGUCGAUUAGAACAAUGUGUAAUUAUUUAUGCCAGAUGUGUAUCCUCAAGGAUUUUGCUUGGUAACUUAGUGUGUAUCAAAGGAUUCUGAAAAAAAUAAGGUGAGUUGUUAUCGGACAUUGGACCCAUCCUCAUAGAACCAUCAAUAGAAUGAGUGAAGCGCCUCUCAUUUAGAGAAGAAAGAAAUGUGAAGAAUGGGGCUAUUCAUUGAUGCUCAAGUCCUCGAAGAAAUUACAUGAAGGCGACUCACUUGCAAAGGUGGAAAUGGAGAGAAAGUUGUUGAUGCUCAAAUCACGCAAUGAAGUAUGGAGCAAGAAGAGACAAAUCUGGAAACAAUUAACUUCCCAUUUUUGUGUGGCCUAUUCUUAGGUUGUAUCGGUUGUGGCAUUGACACUCGGUUUUUUUCUAUUACUCCUGAUGUUGGCCAUUUGAUGAAUAAUUGAUGAAUGCUCAAUUGUUUGGAGUUGAAUUUAAGAAUAUACCAGCAAUACAAGAAAGUUUUUUUUGACGGUGUA